CGAAAAUCAGUUCCCACAGGUCCGUUUUACCCCAGCACGGACCUGGCUAGCAGCAUCAGUGUCACCGGGAGCUGGUCAGAAGCACAGAGUCUCUGGCCCUUCCUAGACCUGUGGAUCAGUCUGCAUUUUACUAGGGUCCCAGGAUAACGAAGAAGGCAACAUGAAAACGUGAUUUCGAGGAGUAGCAAAAUCACCGAUCCUGACACAGCCACCAUGUUUUUCCACCUGCAUUCAUAAUUGAAGGAAAUACUGAAAAUCAGAGAGAGGUUGAACUGCAGCCGCUCUGUGCUCCCUCUGCCACCACCUCUGUCCCCUGUCCCUCUGCAUGGGAAGUGACACUGGGACGAGACUUCCUAGUAUGCAGGAAUCGCUGGCGAUGAAUCAGAAAAGAGCAGAGGGUCUCUUGUUUCCAUGUUCUUCAGCUGGGACCACAGGCAUGAAGAAAUAUUCUGGAUGAGAGACAGAUGAUUUGAGUUUUCGUUCUGCCACAGACAUGAGUGAUCCUGGGCAAGUCGCGGAACCAUCCUGAAUGUGGAAGUGAAAUUGGUAAAGCAGGGCUAAAAUCCAGACAAGUGGGGCUCAAUAAAGUAAUGCUGAGUUGGAACGGGCUUUGUGAGGUACAAAGUUUCACCUGACGCCCCGCCAGGCUAGAAGGCAGGAGCUCAGUCUCUGCUUGUUCAACAUUUCUGAGGACCUACUGAGUUGUCCUUCCCUGGGCCCUGGGCAUGCAGAAAGAAGAAGGCAUAUCUCCCGCCUUGAGGGGAUCACAGCCACAUGCGGAGGACAGCCAUGCAAACAAGCAAACCCAGUGCUGCUUCCCGCCCUCCCGACUCCUUACUGCAGGGUGUCCUCGUCAAGUGACAUUUCUUCUGCGACUGUAUGUCUCCGCUCAGAGACCCCAUGCAACGCUUCAGAUGAAAAGCCUUUAAAUUCCAGCGUCACGUUAUCAAUCCUUAUGCCUGUAUCAUACUAUGUUGAUUACUGCUGUUUUAUGGCAAAUCCUCAAGUCAGAUAGUUUAAGCCCUUCAACUUGGUUUUUCUCUUAAGGGAUUUCUUUGGAUAUUCUAGAUCCUUUGAAUUUCCAUAUAAACUUUAGAAUCUGCUUACCAAUUUUUUUUUUAAAGAUUUUAUUUUUCCUUUUUCUCCCAAAGCCCCCCGGUACACAGUUGUGUAUUUUUAGUUGUGGGUCCUUCUAGUUGUGGCAUGUGGGAUGCCGCCUCAGAAUGACUUGACCAGCAGUGCCGUGUCCACACCCAGGAUUCGAACCGGUGAAAUCCUGGGCUGCUGAAGCAGAGCGCUCAAACUUAACCACUCAGCCGUGGGGCUGGCCCCACCAAUUCUUAUUUUAAAAAUCUGCUGAGAUUUUGAUUGUGACUGAGUUACUGAGCUGAAUGUAUAGAUCAAUUUGAGAAGAACUGGCAUCUUAACAAUAUUGUCUUCCAAUCAACGAAUAUGAUGUAUCUCUUCAUUUACCUGGAUUUUCUUUAAUUUCUCUUAACAAUGUUUUAUAGUUUUCAGUGUAGACGUCUUUUACAUCUUUUACUAAAUUUAUGCUUAAAUAUUUUACGUUUUUGAGGGGAUUGUAAAUGGACUUGUUUUAAAUUUAAUUUUUCAAUUAUUUGCUACAAAUAUAUACGUAUGGAUUUGUUUAUUAACCUGAUAAACUACCACUAUUUUAAAUUCACUUAUUAGUUAUAGUAAUUAUUUCAUAGAUUCUUUAGGGUUUUCUACAUACACAGUCAUGUCACCUGCAAAUAGAGACAGCGUUUUUUCUUCUCUUGUAUCCUUGUGCCUUUUAUUUCUUUAUCUUACCCUACCGCACUGCCUGGAACCACCAGGACAAUGUUGAAGACAAGUGGUAAGAUAAGGCAUCCUUGUCUUUUUUUUUUUAUCUUAAAGGGAAAACACAUAACAAUUUAUCAUUAAGAAUAGUAUUAGCUAUAGAUCUUACACAGAUGCUUCUAUCAGAUUGAAGAAGUUUCCAUUAAUUUCCAAGAUUUUUCUUAAAAAUCAUGAACAAACAUUGAACUUUGUCAAAUGGUUCUUCAGAAGCUAUUAAAACAAUUAUGUGUUUUCUUUUUUUUUUAAAUUAACUUAGAAAUUACUUUUUUUACGUCUUGUUUGCUAACGUGGUGAUUGAUUUUAAAAUGCUAACCCAACCUUGCAUUCCUUAGACAAACCGUACUUGAUAAGUAUAUAUUCUUCUUUUCAUAUAUGUUUAAUUUAUACUUGCUAGUAUUUUGUUAAGAAAAUUUGUGUUUAUGAGGGUUAUUGAUCUGUGCUUUUCUUCUUAUUUUGUUUUUGUUUUUAUAACGUCUUUGUCAGGUUUUAGUAUUAAUGUUAGACAGGACUCAUACAGUAAUUGGAGUGGUUUUUCCUCCUCUGCUUUCUGAAAGAAUUUAGGUGAAAUUCAUAUUAUUUUUUUCUAGAAUAUUUGACUGAAUUCACUUGGAAACCAUCUGGGCCAAAUAUCAAAAACCUUUUUGAUAUUAAUUCUGUUACUUU
ensembl:lncRNA